rnacentral:rRNA from 1 species
UACGUAGGGGGCUAGCGUUGUCCGGAUUUAUUGGGCGUAAAGAGCGUGUAGGCGGCCAGGUAGGUCCGGUGUGAAAACUCGAGGCUUAACCUCGAGAUGUCAUCGGAAACCAUCUGGCUAGAGUCCGGAAGAGGAGAGUGGAAUUCCUGGUGUAGCGGUGAAAUGCGCAGAUAUCAGGAGGAACACCGAUGGCGAAGGCAGGUCUCUGGGCAUUAACUGACGCUGAGGAGCGAAAGCAUGGGGAGCGAACAGG